AGAAGGCUUGGGCAAAGACAUGAGCAGCCUCUCGUUGACAGCUCUCAGUGACAAAGAGCUUCCUGCUAGAGGACUCGCAAAUGCUUAAUUCAUGGGAAAGAAUUUGGGAAACCAAUCCCAGAAAGGACUUGUAAAUUGGGUCUAACACGGUUGAUCACUCCAGUCUUUGUUGCGCUGCUUCCUCCAGAGUAUCAGACUCACAAGGUGCGGCUGCAGCCACUGGAUGUCCAUCUAACGACUGGACCUGAGAAGGUCCAUCUCUUUGACAUCAAGGGGCCUGCCCUGGGAGAGAAACAGAUGGCGCUGCCUUUUCCAGUCCUUGCGGAUGUCAGAAGAUUAGCGGCGUGCCUCUGAGUCUGCCUCAGAGACUCUCUUUACCACGGUUCAUAUGCUAGCUCACGGGAUAGGCGGUGAAGUUCACCAAAACAAAACCUAACCUCAACCAUCCAAAGCAGCUGGCGGAAACUGUGAGUGUUUCUAAGGGGCUGACUUAUCUAGCUGAGGCAAAUACGUGUGAGUGCUUCAAACAGGCAUGAUAGCAGAAACAAAACUGGGUGUUUAUUGAGUGCUGUCUCUCUUGAUUCCUUUUCUCCUUUGCUGGGCAUGAGUCUCCCUCUUAGCUUUAUCUUAACAAGGGAUGAAGCCACCAGUGAUAGAAAUCUGACUCUCUGGGAACUCCAUUAUAAACUAAGUUUAUUUUCCUAAAUAGAAAACUCAUAUAUGUGUUUCCCAAGACAUUUAGAAAAAAAUGACAAAUCAUUAAAGUGCUUAUAAUCUCAGCACUAUUGCCUCUAUGAUGUUCUUCACAUACACACUCACACAUAUGCACAUGCACACGCAUGCACACACACACAGACACACAUGCACACACACACAUUCACAUAUACACAUGCACACACACACUAACACACACAGACACACACAUGUACACUCACACACACACACAUACUAAUACACACACACACACACACACACACACAAAGAAACACAUAUACUCUUGCACACUUGAAGCCUAUCAGAUCUAGGUCUAGAAGAAUAGAUGGAUAUGCAAAGAUAUCUCUAUUAACAAUGGUUAUAUUGUCCCAUUUUCUACCUAUCACAUUCUUAUAGCUAUUUUCCUACAUCAAUAUAUUCAACAUUGUCGAGACUACCUAAGAUUGUACUAAUGGACACCAUAAAAUAUUUAGUCACUGUGGGAUUUCUAAAUUUCUGCUAUUAUCAAAAAUAUGAGUGAAGAUUCUUGUUGAUAAAUCUUGGUGCACGAUAGGAAUUUUUUUCACACACUUCUGCUUUCUCAUACACUUCUGGCUAGUUAGGCAGCACCUGAAGGAACACAGGCCUUCCUAGGUUUGUAGAAGCUGCUUUCCAUCACCAUAACUGUUUCUUCAAUUCACAGAAGAGAAACAUUAAAACGACUAUUUAAAAUGUAUGACAAGAAAUGAGGUCUAGUAAAAUAACCGAGUAAAGAUUAAGAACCUGUUUUUGAAGAAGGGAAAAGCUCGACCAAUUUGGAUGCUCAAACUAUCUUCCAGGAAAUUCAUCAAUUUGAGUCAUGUGUAGCAGGUUCCAUAAUUAUAGAGGACUCGUGAAAACAUUUCUACUCUUUCCUAUUUUUUAAUUUUAAGAAUGAAACGAUCCAAGAGGACACUUAAAAGAUAUUAUUACCUCUCAUUGUGAUUUUAUUGCCCCAUCAGAAAACAGUCGCUUCUGAACUGGCAUGAAAUCUAGCUAUUGAUGAAUCAUGCCCCCCAGAUCACUCUGGAAUACGGCUAACAGGGAAGCUUGCCUCCCGCCAAACUCGAGAAACGGUGGUGAGGUUGAGGAAAAUCAUUGUCCUGAGGGCCUGCAGUGAUUUUAGAGAGUGUCCCUUAGUAGUUACUGCACUCUGUGACCUCUGGAAAAAGUGUAAGCAGCUCUUUGCAUACACUCCACCCUGCCAGUUUCCCUUACAAGGCUCAUUCUCUCCAUCACCACUGAAUUGAAAACAGUUGGGCAAGCUCUGCUAAUCGGCAGCUGCUUGCAAUUAGAUGAAGCAUUUAAAGCCAGUCUGCAAACUACCUUCCCAACUGCUCAGCCUUCUGCACGAGCUGUACACCGUGACAACUUGCCAGGAUGUUUAGCUUAUCUCCAUCUCUGGUGGUUUCCAUACCUUCCUUCUUUUCUCCAAUCUUCCCACACAGGGUCUGACUCGUCCAGGUCCUCUUGUUGACUUAGAGGAACACAAAAAAAGGGAGAUGGGGCGUUAGUCAAAACCAGGUUGAGCUGCUUUGGGCUAAGAUGGAAAUUUCUAUCCAGGCGAUUAUUAGAGGCAGAGAUAUCUUGAUGGGUCCCGGAGAGAAACAGGGAGGUAACCUUUCCCUUUCGGUUCCUUCCCUUUUUCAGUUUCUAAACAGCAAGCUGGAAGGUUCACAGAGAUUGUCUCUUUUAGGGUGAUAGAGCAAAACAAGAGGUACUGGGGUUUUUGUUUUUUGUUUUUUGUUUUUUUUUUGUCAGUGAUUUCCAGUUUCCCUAACCUAAAACAGUCACUUUCUCUAGCAGAAUAAGUGGCAGGGUGUUUCCUUCACCAGGGAAGAAACUGAGGGUCGAGAAUCUAACCCAAAGGACGCACAGAUGGCGGGUGAGCAUGAACUGAAGUCAUCUCUCCUGCCUCUCAGUCCUGACCACUUCCUGGAUGCCAAUUGUCUCCUCUAGAGGGGGGAAAAUAAAUCCUCAGACAGCUCCACACAAUGGAGGCAUUCUCCCCCAGCCUCUCCUCACUGUGGAAGAAAACGCGUGUAGACCCUCAGCCCUGCCCAUCAUGGGGCUUAAAGUAAAACUGACCCAUAAAACAAAACGAGACAAACAGGUAGCAUUUCCUUCGCGCAGUUGCCUUUCCACGACCCCACCUUAGGCCACCUACGAGAGAUGCUUCGUGCACAUAACCAUCUCUGCUGCUCUAUUCUUCUCUAGUGGGCCCUCCAUAUUGAUCACUCACUUGGUCUCUCUGGUUGCAGGAGGCACAGACGGAGAAGCAGAAAGGGAAACCGUGAGAGAGGUAGAAAGGUGGGCUGGAAGGGAGGGAGCAGUUGGGCCGCCUCAGAAUCGAAGCAGAAUGAGCUGAGACAGGGACGUCAGCCCCCUGCCUCAGCUCUCUCCCCGACGCCCGACAUACACACACCCAGAGCAGGUCUGUUCCCCAGCAGGCUACCUCCGAAAACCAUUUCUGUUUCCUCUUAACCCCAAUGGCUCUCUCCAUAGAAUUAGAAGUACAUUUCAGUAUUUCAUAUGAAAGCAGAAGAGGAAAGAAGACCAGGGAGAAGAAAGAGAAGCUGCAUAAGAGCAAAGAGCAGUUACAUAUGUAUGCCUGUGUCAUAGCGAAACUCACUAUGGGUCCCACUAUGUAGCUCUGGCUGGACUCAUAGAAAUAUGCCUACUUCUGUCUCCCACGUGCUGGAAUUAAAGGCAUGUGUCGCUCUGCCCGGCUAACACCCAUUUCUUAAAGUGGGUUUCUUAGCUAUCACGUUCAUCUUCCUUCCCCCUUGACAUUCCUACAUUUUCUCUAUAUCCUACCUACAGAUUUUGUUAUUUCUCUCCUCUUAAUAUAGUAUGCAUACUAUCCUUUUCCUACUGCUGAAGGUGGCCUUUCAUAUGUGCUAUAGCCCUGGUACAUCUAGAAAACACUGUUCCUCUACUACCUCUGGCUCUUACACACUUUCAACUGCUCUUCCACACAUAAUUGCUGAACAAUAUCGUGUUACAAAUGAAUUCAUAAUGGCUGUGACUGCAUGCACAAAACCGGAUGGAGAUCAAGCCAGCUAAAACCCUAACAUGGAUGGGAAGGGGGCUCUCAAAGCCAUGCCCUAGAUGAGGAGCUAUUGGUGGCUGCUGGAAGACGGAGAGUGCCAGUUUUCAUCAGUGAUGUGUGCCUUGAUAAACUGCCCCUGCUGCCAUCGAGGUUCCUGGACCCAUGCACAUAUUGGCAGCAAUAAAUAGACAUGGUGCCUUGGUUUUGGGGAAAGGUAGUAGGUAGAAAUGAGAGGAGUUAGGGAGAAGGCAAUAGGGUGGGUUUGAUCAAAACACGAUGUAUAAGAAAUGUUUAUGAAAUUCUCAAACAAUAAAAUAAAACAGGAAAAAUUCUAAUCUUGCUAGG
rnacentral:lncRNA from 1 species